AUGCAAGUCGAGCGGAGUUAUUUUGAAAGCUUGCUUUCAAAAUAACUUAGCGGCGGACGGGUGAGUAACACGUAGGCAACCUGCCCCUUAGACUGGGAUAACUACCGGAAACGGUAGCUAAUACCGGAUAAUUUCUUUUUUCUCCUGAAGAAAGAAUGAAAGACGGAGCAAUCUGUCACUGAGGGAUGGGCCUGCGGCGCAUUAGCUAGUUGGUGGGGUAACGGCCCACCAAGGCGACGAUGCGUAGCCGACCUGAGAGGGUGAACGGCCACACUGGGACUGAGACACGGCCCAGACUCCUACGGGAGGCAGCAGUAGGGAAUCUUCCGCAAUGGACGAAAGUCUGACGGAGCAACGCCGCGUGAGUGAUGAAGGUUUUCGGAUCGUAAAGCUCUGUUGCCAGGGAAGAACGUCCGGUAGAGUAACUGCUAUCGGAGUGACGGUACCUGA
rnacentral:rRNA from 1 species